UACGGAGGGAGCUAGCGUUGUUCGGAAAUACUGGGCGUAAAGCGCACGUAGGCGGCGCAUCAAGUCAGGGGUGAAAUCCCGGGGCUCAACCCCGGAACUGCCCUUGAAACUGCAGUGCUAGAAUCUUGGAGAGGCGAGUGGAAUUCCGAGUGUAGAGGUGAAAUUCGUAGAUAUUCGGAAGAACACCAGUGGCGAAGGCGACUCGCUGGACAAGUAUUGACGCUGAGGUGCGAAAGCGUGGGGAGCAAACAGG
rnacentral:rRNA from 1 species